UACGGGGGGGACAAGCGUUGUUCGGAAUUACUGGGCGUAAAGGGCUCGUAGGCGGCCAACUAAGUCAGACGUGAAAUCCCUCGGCUUAACCGGGGAACUGCAUCUGAUACUGGAUGGCUUGAGAUUGGGAGAGGGAUGCGGAAUUCCAGGUGUAGCGGUGAAAUGCGUAGAUAUCUGGAGGAACACCGGUGGCGAAGGCGGCAUCCUGGACCAACACUGACGCUGAGGAGCGAAAGCCAGGGGAGCAAACAGG
rnacentral:rRNA from 1 species